rnacentral:SRP_RNA from 16 species
CCCACGGGGUGGUAACAGAAGGGCCGGCGCUUCGCACCCAAAGGUGUGCACGGGGUCAGCUGUCUUCGUUUUCUCGACAGUCCCCUCCAAGGAGGGAGUUGGCAGUUCUG